AACGAACGCUGGCGGCAGGCUUAACACAUGCAAGUCGAGCGCCCCGCAAGGGGAGCGGCAGACGGGUGAGUAACGCGUGGGAAUCUACCCAUCUCUACGGAAUAACGCAUGGAAACGUGUGCUAAUACCGUAUACGUCCUUCGGGAGAAAGAUUUAUCGGAGAUGGAUGAGCCCGCGUUGGAUUAGCUAGUUGGUGGGGUAAAGGCCUACCAAGGCGACGAUCCAUAGCUGGUCUGAGAGGAUGAUCAGCCACACUGGGACUGAGACACGGCCCAGACGCCUACGGGCGGGAGUAGUGGGGAAUAUUGGACAAUGGGCGCAAGACUGAUCCGGGCAUGCCGCGUGAGUGAUGAAGGCCCUAGGUUUGUAAAGCUCUUUCACCGGUGAAGAUAAUGACGGUAAUCGGAGAAGAAGCCCCGGCUAACCUCGUGUCAGCCGCCGCGGUAACAC
rnacentral:rRNA from 1 species